rnacentral:rRNA from 1 species
GGGGGCACGGGGGGAGGAAAGCAGGGGAUCGCAAGACCUUGCGCCGAUGGAUGAGCCGAAGUCGGAUUAGCUAGUUGGUAGGGUAACGGCCUACCAAGGCGACGAUCCGUAGCUGGUCUGAGAGGACGAUCAGCCACACUGGGACUGAGACACGGCCCAGACUCCUACGGGAGGCAGCAGUGGGGAAUAUUGGACAAUGGGCGCAAGCCUGAUCCAGCCAUGCCGCGUGAGUGAAGAAGGCCUUCGGGUUGUAAAGCUCUUUAGUCCGGGAUGAAAACAUUCUUGUGAAAAAUAAGGAUGGCUGACAGUACUGGAAGAAUAAGCACCGGCUAACUACGUGCCAGCAGCCGCGGUAAUACGUAGGGUGCGAGCGUUAAUCGGAAUAUACUGGGCGUAAAGGGUGCGUAGC